AUUGAACGCUGGCGGCAGGCUUAACACAUGCAAGUCGAGCGAGCGGCGGACGGGUGAGUAGUGUCUGGGAAAAUGCCUGAUGGAGGGGGAUAACUACGGGAAACGGUAGCUAAUACCGCAAAACACCAGUUGUGCCCAGGCGGGAUUAGCUAGUAGGUGGGGUAAUGGCUCACCUAGGCGACGAUCCCUAGCUGGCCUGAGAGGAUGACCAGCCACACUGGAACUGAGACACGGUCCAGCCUCCUACGGGAGGCAGCAGUGGGGAAUAUUGGACAAUGGGCGCAAGCCUGAUGCAGCCAUGCCGCGUGUGUGAAGAAGGCCUUCGGGUUGUAAAGCACUUUCAGCGGGGAGGCGUUACCCGCAGAAGAAGCACCGGCUAACUCCGUGCCAGCAGCCGCGGUAAUAC
rnacentral:rRNA from 1 species